GACGAACCGUACGAACGUUGUUCGGAUUCACUGGGCUUAAAGGGCGCGUAGGCGGCUUGCCAAGUCAGGGGUGAAAUCUUCCGGCUCAACCGGGAAACGGCCCCUGAUACUGGCGGGCUUGAGGGAGGUAGGGGCGGAUGGAACUUCCGGUGGAGCGGUGAAAUGCGUAGAUAUCGGAAGGAACGCCGGUGGCGAAAGCGAUCCGCUGGACCUCUUCUGACGCUGAGGCGCGAAAGCCAGGGGAGCAACGGG
rnacentral:rRNA from 1 species